ACUCAAAUGAAUUGACGGGGGCCCGCACAAGCAGCGGAGCGUGUGGUUUAAUUCGAUGCAACGCGAAGAACCUUACCAGGGCUUGACAUGGCACUUACAGAGGGUGAAAGCCCUUGCCCGCAAGGGGUGUGUCACAGGUGCUGCAUGGCUGUCGUCAGCUCGUGCCGUGAGGUGUUGGGUUAAGUCCCGCAACGAGCGCAACCCCCGGGCUUAGUUAGAUUCCUAAGCCGACGGCCGGGACCAACCCGGAGGAAGGUGGGGACGACGUCAAGUCAGCACGGCCCCUACGUCCUGGGCUACACACACGCUACAAUGGCCGGUACAGCGGGCGUUGCGAAGCCGUGAGGCGGAGCGAAUCUCUGCAAAGCCGGUCGUAGUGCAGAUCGGGGGCUGCAACCCGCCCCCGUGAAGCCGGAGUUGCUAGUAACCGCGGGUCAGCACACCGCGGUGAAUACGUUCCCGGGCCUUGCACACACCGCCCGU
rnacentral:rRNA from 1 species